rnacentral:ncRNA from 1 species
CUGGACAUGGAAAGGAUUGACAGAUUAAUAGCUCUCUCUCGAUUCUGUGGGCAGUGGUGCAUGGCCAGUCUUAGUUGGUGGAGCGAUUUGUCUGGUUAAUUCCGAUAAACGAGACUCUGGCAUGCUGACUAGUUACGCGACACCCGAGCAGCCUCCUUCAUUUUGUUAGUCUUUAAAGUGCUACCAGACAAUUUGUUGUUUUUUUAAGUUAUCCUGUACAGACUACUCAGCUACCCCCUGAAGCUACCAUUACAAGGUGUUCAGAGCCCAAUG